GGACAAACUGGAUUGCAUUGUGGAUUGCACAAUGGAUUGCACUGUGCUCUUGGAGCCUCCAGCAGAGAGGGGCUGUGAGAAUAAGUGCAAGGAAGGCUAUGGGUGCAUGAAGGGUCAACAGUGGGAACGCCAACAUUUAGUGGGAUAAACUAAGGGAGGAACAGAAGUCAGUAAAAGGACAGGAUAGCACAAAGUAGAAUAGAUUAAUGCAGAAGAACAAUUUCUAUAAGCAAAAAAGCCCACACCUUGACACAGAAGGGAUUACUUUUUAAUAUCAUCCUCGUUGCUUUUCUGGUAUUCUUGAUUUCUCCAGCUUCGAUCUGGGACGUGCAGGAGGUGGCUGCUGCCAUCACAGGAGUUCCUCCCCCAGACAACCCACACCGUAAACGUUAUUGCCCUAUAAAGAGCACUCCGCAGCUUGUCAGGGAUCCCCAAAGCCGGCAUUAGGAAAUCAGCAGCAGGCACCAUCCCCAUCCCCCAGCCUGCUCCGCCAUUCACUUCCAAUUAUGCUAAAUCAGGACUCUGAAUUUUGGGUGAGAGCCAAACUGCCAAUCCCAUAAUCAGUUAUGAACAACGUGGGCAACAUCUAUCUAAUCUGUAAAUGACCGGCUAGUCUGAGAGGCUCCUGUAACGAGGCUGGAACAGCCUCUGCCUGGGUAAUUAUUCACGUCUGGAAAGGGGGAAGAAAUCCCCUCUGGGAAGUGCUGGUUUAUAGGGCAUCACAACCUGGUGCAGCACAUUUCCUCAAGGGUAGGAAAAACUGUAGGAAAACGAGGGGAAAAAAAGGAGAUUUCAGGAUUGGAGUUGGGGUUUUGGUUGCUUUCAGGGACAAGAACUGUGACCACAGGGCUUGUGGGCAUCAUCAGGUGUGAGAUGAUCGCAGCAAUGCAGGUGCAGCAGCGGAGGGGUGAUGUUCCUUCUCCAGCCCCACGUGGGAGCAGCGUCUGGGGAAAACCAAAGCAAUGCCACUGCUUUGCUGGGUCUGAGCAUCCCUUGCACAGGUCCAAAGGCUCAGAAGAGAGGGAGUAAGCUUUAUGGGAACAGCUCACUUUUCCCUGCUAUCGGGGUGCUCUCUGGCACUGCACGCUCCCUGCAUGGGCACGCAGGAGGAACUUCCAGCCUUCAUCGCUCACCCUUCAGCACAGAGCUGAGCCUCCAUCUGCUCUGACGCCUUUCCCAUCUCCUGCAGCCCUCAGCAGCACAGCAAAGGGCCUUUUAGCCUUGAGGAUGGGGAUGAAUGGAAGAGGAAGCUCUAACCGCACAGACGAGGUGGGUCUCUAUCACACUUGGCCCUUGGGAGUGACAUCACUGGAACGAUGGAGGGAGCAUACCAAGUGGCUUUGCUUCUUGCCUUGGAAUCCAAGAACCUUCCUCAGUACACCAUCAAGCACUUCAAGGGUCUCUGGAGGAAAUCACAUGGCCCAGGAGGGAGCUUUGACUCUAUGCAGCCUAUUCUGUACCCACGUUCACAAGUGCAACAAUUUCUGAGAAGUUCCCAGCAUGCAUAAGUUGCAUCCAGAUCAGCUUCUCAACCUGCCAUCCCACGCGGAAAGAGGAUUUUGCUGUGUCACCAAAUCUGAGGACAUCUGCGUGACAGAAAGAGGUGGGUAGAACAGCUCAAAAGUGGGACCUGAUGGGCCAUCUCACCAUAGCUGCUCAAUGCUGGGAGGAAUGAGGAUCCCUCUGACAUGCACCCUACAGUGUGCACACUGCAGCCACAUCCUUGAUCCUUUGGAUAAGGGCACAGAAGAAAGGGAGAGACAAGGGGAUGUCUAAAUGGGAAAGACUUACAGGCCUGAAUGCCAGAGUCCCUUCGUGUCACCUUCUGCAGGAGCUUCCAUCUGCUGCAACUGUGGCAUGGAUUAACUGAGGCAACAGAGAUUGAUUCAACAAGAUCCAGCAACCUAGGCUUGCAAAAUACCACUAAUUAAAAUUGGCUUUGUGCCUUCUCCUGGCUCAAAGGCCCACAGCACUUGUAAGACUGAAGGUUGGCAGGGCCCAUGACCAGAGAAAUCGCUGGUACUUUCAAAGAUGCUGUUGGGAGGUUGAACAGAUAUAGAAAGAGUUAAAUCUACAUUGGAGCAUGGUGGCAUGCACAUUUCUUGAGUGCUCUUCAAGACCUAUUUUUUUUUUAAAAACUAAUUCCACCUAAUCAUUUCUAUGCCAGCUCUACAGGAUGGUCCUGCUUCCACCUCCCACAAGGCUGCUCCCCUUUUUCCACAUUACCAGGUGAGCCAGGUUAAUCAGGCCUGGAAAUACACCUCACACUUGUUUGGAACUUUAUUCCUCUAAAACAAAAGUAAAACAUUUUGGCCUAGAAACUUCAAGUGUGAUUUAGUACCUUGCCUGUAGCAGAGACUGUUGCCCCUGGAGAGACUGGGGCAUCUUCCAUUAUUAGCGACAGGAUCCGCACAUGCAAUGAAGCCCGCGUGGCAGAUGUGUGCAUCAGAAAGCACAGCUCAGGGCCUGACUCUGUAAUUGGUAUAAUUAUGCUGGGGCCCUGAGUAAUGUUUCAAGCAACGUUGGUCUUCUCAUGUUGAGUACACUG
ensembl:lncRNA